rnacentral:ncRNA from 1 species
ACAACCCAAAGUCUCCGAGCCUUCAGGACCUAAGGCACCUGUUUCGUGAGGCGGGCGCAAAGGCCUGAGGCCGAACCUCGGCAGAAUCCGAGGGACCGCCGGACGGGGAGCGCCCCCGGGCGGCGGUCGUGGGUAGGGAAGGAAACGACCCUGCCUCCCCGUGCUUGGAAAGGAGACGCCCAACCGAAGCG